ensembl:lncRNA
UCUCCCUGAUGCUAGGCCCGCUAGCAUCAGAACUGGACCUCAGAGCAAUCGAAUGUCACCUGGUCUGCUGGAACAACCACCUUGAACCCAACACCUUUCUCAAGUGAUUGGCUCUAGGAGAGUGUAGCGGGGCUUCCUCCUGUGAGCGAAACACGAUGGUCUCCAAAAGGUUCAAAGCUCUGAGCUGUACCUCUGCUGCUCUGCAUCCAUGCAGAAACUUCCAGCUGGUCUCCCACUCUGGUGCCCUGCCUGCUGCCUGGUGCCUGCUGCCUGCUGCCUGCUGCCUGCCAUGGCGUUAGAGUGAUUGCCUUCCGCUCUCGGGAACAAAUGACAUUAGACUAUGGGAAUAUUAGGCGCUCAAGGGACGUUUUAAAUCAGUCACUGGCACUUAACAAGCCAAUCAUCGACGGUGGAAUUCUACCGAGCUCACUUACUGCUGAAAGGAAUGGUGAUGGUUAUGAUGACCUUAUAAUGUCGGUGAUUUUAGCGAAAGUCAAUAGUUUUAAAACUCGACAGCCAAACAAGUACAACCCCAGUUGUUUCCUCUUUAUCUUGGAAAAUGCACACGUUCAUGGAACUUGCAAACAGC